AUGGCAAUGAAUGAAAUUAGAGGGCAUAUUUGUAUUAAGAAUAUCGAGUGUGUGGCUAGUAUAGAGGAAGCAAUUGGAGCUUUCCUGAGCGAGAAGGCAUUCAUCAGCAUCCUAGACCUUAUCUGGUCCGAUAACAGGAACAUAACAUCAGACGAAGCAAAUCAAGACAAAGAGAUACUUGAAGUCCUCCGACCACAUCAUGAACUGAACGAGCUAACUGUCAAGGCAUUUGCAGGCUCCUCCUUCCCAAAUUGGUUUAGUAGUCUUUCCCACUUGCAAACCCUCCACUUGUCUGAUUGCACGAAAUGUGCGACUCUACCAGCACUGGGAGAGCUGCCUCAACUCAAGUAUUUAGAUAUUGGUGGUUUUCCGGCCAUUAUUCAAAUUAGCCAAGAAUUUUCAGGUACCAAUGGAGUUAAGGGGUUUCCAGCACUGAAAGAGCUCGUAUUUGAAGACAUGAGUAAUUUCAAAAGGUGGACUUCUGUACAAGAUUGUGAAUUUCUUCCAUCCCUCACAGAACUUGCAGUGGUGGACUGCCCGAAAAUAACAGAGUUCCCACCACUCCCAUCAAUGCUAGUGAAGCUCAAAAUUUCUGAAACGGGGUUCACUAUUCUUCCAGAAGUCCAUAUUCCAAACUCCCAGUUUCCAUCGUCAUUAGAAUACUUGCAGAUUCAUCAGUGCCCAAAGCUCACAUCCUUAAAGGAAGGACUGCUUAGCCAGCAAUUAUUGGCUCUCCAGCAGUUAACCAUCACUCACUGUUUAGACCUAAUUGACCUGCCAGUUGAAGGAUUCAGAUCCCUGUCUGCUCUUAAGAGUCUUCACAUCUAUGACUGUCCAAGACUGGCACCAUCAGGACAGCAUAGCUUGCUGCCCUCCAAGCUUGAAGACUUGCGCAUCAGCUCAUGCUCCAACCUUAUUAACCCUCUUCUUCAAGAGCUUAAUGAGCUCUCCUCGCUGACACAUCUCACCACCGCUGAUUGUGCUAGCCUUCAGUCUUUUCCAGUAAAGCUCCCUGCCACUCUGCAAAAACUGGAGAUCCUCAAUUGCAGUAAUCUGAUAUACUUGCCUGCUGGUCUAGAAGAUGCAUCGUGCCUAACAGCCAUAACCAUCUUGAAAUGUCCUCUCAUACCAUGCUUGCCAGGGCGCCUUACAGGGUCAUUGAAAGAACUGUACAUCCAAGAAUGCCUGUUUCUAUCGGAGAGUUGCCAAGAAAACAGUGGAAGAGAUUGGUGUAAUAUUGCUCAUGUACCAAUCAUUGAGAUCAGUGACGAUACCAACAUAACCAACAAGAGCACACGAAGAAGAUUAUCAUGA
rnacentral:rRNA from 1 species